rnacentral:rRNA from 1 species
UACAGAGGGUGCGAGCGUUGUUCGGAAUUACUGGGCGUAAAGCGCGCGCAGGCGGCUCUUUAAGUCUCAGGGUGAAAGACCGGGGCUCAACUCCGGAUCUGCGGUGGGUACGGGCAGACUAGAGUGAUGUAGGGGAGACUGGAAUUCCUGGUGUAGCGGUGAAAUGCGCAGAUAUCAGGAGGAACACCGAUGGCGAAGGCAGGUCUCUGGGCAUUAACUGACGCUGAGGAGCGAAAGCAUGGGGAGCGAACAGG